GACGAACGCUGGCGGCGUGCUUAACACAUGCAAGUCGAACGGAAAGGCCCUGCUUGCAUGGUACUCGCGUGUGGCACGCGUGUGUAUAACAUGGGAGUAAUCCCCUGUAGACUGGGAUAUACCUUCGGGACUCUGUGGAAUAUCCGAGAGAGGCCCUCCUGCGUGUGGUGGGUGGUUGGAUUGUUCGGUUGGGGGUGGAUUCGCGGCUUACUAGCUAGUUGGUGGGUUAGUGGCUUACAAAGCCGGGGACGGGUGGCCGGCCUGAGAGGGUGACCGGCCACAUUGGGACUGAGAUACGGCCCAGACUCCUACGGGGGGCAGCAGUGGGGAAUAUGGCACAAUGGGCGGAAGCCUGAUGCAGCAACGCCGCGUGCGGGAGGACGGCCUUGGGGUGGUAAACCGCUUUCGUAGGUAACGAAGCGUGAGUGACGGUAAUGGGUAAAGAAGCACCGGCUAACUACGUG
rnacentral:rRNA from 1 species